UACGUAGGGUGCGAGCGUUGUCCGGAAUUAUUGGGCGUAAAGAGCUUGUAGGCGGUUUGUCGCGUCUGCUGUGAAAAUCCGGGGCUCAACCCCGGACUUGCAGUGGGUACGGGCAGACUAGAGUGUGGUAGGGGAGACUGGAAUUCCUGGUGUAGCGGUGAAAUGCGCAGAUAUCAGGAGGAACACCGAUGGCGAAGGCAGGUCUCUGGGCCACUACUGACGCUGAGAAGCGAAAGCAUGGGGAGCGAACAGGAUAGAU
rnacentral:rRNA from 1 species